GUGCUGGCUUCGGCAGCACAUGCACUAAAACUGGAACCAUACAGAGAAGAUCAGCAUGGCCCCUGCACAAGGACAACACGCAAAUUCAUGAAGUAUUCCAUAUUUUU